AUUCAACCUCAACACCAGCAACAACACCGAGUUUUGGUGUGCUGCUUUAUGUGCGUCUGAUUUUGGUCAUCAUGAUCAGUGAAUUAUCAAUGGCUGUGUUGAUAUUAUGCAGGAACAGGGCCAGCAAAGAUCUUGAUGACACUGACUAGGGUGAUGGGGACUCAACUCAGACUGGACUCGGACUGGGACACUGGGAACUCGACUACAACAUUGCUUAUAAGCACCGUUGGUUCCCUCACUUGCAGCUUUUCUUUAUGUCUUAGUCCCACCCAUGUGAAAUGCAAGGAAACAUGCGGGGGGGAAACCUUUUGGUUCAUACAAAACUAGGAGCAGCUCUGAUGUGUGAUUUUGUUUUGGGAUCUUACUGCUACUGGGAAUCACUGUACUAGCUAACCGUAUAAAUCAGUUUUAAAAAAGUAGGCUUAGCUCCACCGCAGCCAAGUAUAACAGUAAAAUGCUGUUUACACAUAACUGCCUAAUAAUGUCUAUAAUAAUUUGCCUACAGAAUAAGUAUUUUUAUUUUCAAUUUUUUAAGUAAAUUUUGCAAAACUUUUAAACUAUUGCUUCCAAAAUCCUGACUGAGAAUCUUGCAAUGUUCCACUUGACGUCUUGGUUUGGUCUGGCUGAGCAGUUUCAAAUGAAGCUGAGUCAGCUGUGUAGUGCCAGGACAAGUUAGAUAAUGCUGUCUACAGAUAAUUCUUUUAAUUUAAAUUAGUUUGAGAUGAUGAUCUCUGCGAAGUGCAUUUAGUGUGCCUUUGGCAACCAAAAAUAUUUUGAAGAAGUCUUUUUUCCCCCAAGUGUAAUCAACAUUUUGGACUCGCUUGAAUGUUUAUUGCUUAGUUUUAGGUAUGUUAUCUGUAAUUUUUUUUUACCUCUGUGCUGUAGAACACUCUAAACUUUUGUUGUAGUGAUAUCUUGUUUCCAAAUUUGUUCUGUAUGUUAAUUACUGUACUUCUAUGCUUUUGGUACUGGCAAUUUUUCACACUGGAGGACAAGAUAAUGAUUCUAUUCCAUUUAAAUUGAUAAUUUUUUAUGAUCAAAUAGGCUAAAAAAUUAAUCAAUAAUUUUCUCAAAUAAUUCUUUGUUUUGUUUUG